rnacentral:rRNA from 1 species
CAGGGAAUAUUGGACAAUGGGCGAAAGCCUGAUCCAGCCAUGCCGCGUGAGUGAUGAAGGCCUUAGGGUUGUAAAGCUCUUUCAGCGGGGAAGAUAAUGACGGUACCCGCAGAAGAAGCCCCGGCUAACUUCGUGCCAGCAGCCGCGGUAAUACGAAGGGGGCUAGCGUUGCUCGGAAUCACUGGGCGUAAAGCGCACGUAGGCGGCUUUCUAAGUCAGGGGUGAAAUCCUGGAGCUCAACUCCAGAACUGCCUUUGAUACUGGAAAGCUUGCGUUCGGGAGAGGUGAGUGGAACUGCGAGUGUAGAGGUGAAAUUCGUAGAUAUUAGCAAGAACACCAGUGGCGAAGGCGGCUCACUGGCCCGAUACUGACGCUGAGGUGCGAAAGCGUGGGGAGCAAACA